rnacentral:misc_RNA from 1 species
UUUCCGUAGGUGAACCUGCGGAAGGAUCAUUAUUGAAGAGUCUGCAGCGCGGUGUGCAGCUCACCCUACACCCUUGCCUAUGUGCACCUUUUGUUGUUCCCUUGGCGGGUCCGCCCGUCAACGGGAAGCCCUAUAACCUUCUUAAUAAGUAUGGAACCUUCUGAACGCAACCUAAAUAUUUAUUUACAACUUUCAACAAUGGAUCUCUUGGUUCUGGCAUCGAUGAAGAACGCAGC